UAUGUGAUCGUCUCUCGCAUAUCAAUAAGCGGAGGAAAAGAAACUAACAAGGAUUCCCCUAGUAACGGCGAGUGAAGCGGGAAGAGCUCAAAUUUGAAAUCUUAAAGGGUUUCCCUUUACGAAUUGUAGUUUAAAGAAGUGUUUUCUGUUGAGGUUUUGGUAAAAGUUCUUUGGAAUAGGGCAUCAUAGAGGGUGAGAAUCCCGUAUUUGACCUUUACUUUCAACUUUGUGAUACACUUUCAAAGAGUCGGAUUGUUUGGGAAUGCAGUCCAAAAUGGGUGGUAAAUUUCAUCUAAAGCUAAAUAUUGGCGAGAGACCGAUAGCGAACAAGUACCGUGAGGGAAAGAUGAAAAGAACUUUGAAAAGAGAGUUAAACAGUACGUGAAAUUGUCAAAAGGGAAGCGUUUGACACCAGUGUUGUUUUUCUGAAAAUCAAUUAAAGAACUGUUUAUGCUAAGCUGUUUAGACUUUAUCAGCUAACUGUUUAGUUUUGAGCUUUUCUUUAAUGCACUUUUCAGUUAACAAGUCAACAUCAAUUUCUUUUGCUGUAAAAAAGCUUGAGGAAGGUGGCUUGAGAUUCGUCUUAAGUGUUUAUAGCCUUUUAGCCCUCUGCAGUCGGAGAGAUUGAGGUCUGCAGCGUAGAUCCUUCGGGGUUAAAUGCAUUUGUGCUAAGCUAUAGCCUUGUAUAGACAACUUGUUGACUAUGCUCUGUCAUGUAGCUUACUCGCUUAUGCUAUUUUACCUACGCUUAGGAUGUUGACAGCAGUAUAGACUGU
rnacentral:rRNA from 1 species